rnacentral:RNase_P_RNA from 1 species
GAGGAAAGUCCGGGCUCUAUUUAUGAAAGUAUAGUUGUAAAAAAUACAAUGUAGGGAACUAUAAGGAUCGUGCCACAGAAACAUACCGCCUUAAAUUUAAGGUAAGGGUGCAAUGGUACGGUAAAAGCGUACCAGGAAUAUUUUUAAGAUAUUUGCUAGGUAAACCCCAUAUUAGAGCAAAGUAACUAGUUUAUAAUAAUAAGUUUUUGUAAGCGUUUAUUAAUAGAAUAAUUCUAGUAAAUAAAUAUACUGCUUAAAGUAAAUAUUGUUUUAUACUUAAGAUUAAUGAUUACCCUUUUUAUUUGAGGCUUACUAAUUUAUAAAAAAUUUUAAUUUUAGUUAAGUUAUUAUAAUAUUAAAGAACAAAACCCGGCUUAU